AGACUGACUUUAAACCAUGGAGUCUGUUUAUUAGCUCUAGCUGACCAGGUCAGCGUUGACUCCUUCAUCUUUGCAGUUGAUGUGCAUGUUUGACUGAUGCUCUCAUAUCUUCAGGUUGUUCUGUGUGAGGGAUGGAGACCCAGUGUGGACCACACCAGAGUGACUGAGAUGGGGAAAAGUUCAAGUUCUUUACUUGGUGAGUGUUUUUGUCCAGUCCUGAAUCACAAUUAUUUCAAGGUGGCCACAAGACUAGUGAUGAUCUGAUUUUGCCAGAUGACUUAAGCUGAUUAUAACCCUUACCGUUCCAUUUUUUUCUGAGGUCAUGUGGUCAUUAACUGCUAGUUAACUCUUCUGUUAGUAGUCUGUACUUGUAUUUUAAUGAUUUCUUCUCUACACAGGUGUGACGCCUCCGGCACUGAAGCACAAUCAAGCACAAGUCUGUCACUUCAUAAUAAAUCUAAAUGGUACCGUCUGGUGCUGUUUCCUGAAAAGCUGGAAAGUGAUGUUGACAGAUUUUCACCUGCAGGACUCAGUGUUCAGACCCUGCUCGUGCUAUUACGUCUGGAUUGUGACCUGAUCCUGUUGACUUCAAUUUGUAACAAUAAAAUAUUUGUUAUUGA